rnacentral:rRNA from 1 species
GACGAACGCUGGCGGCGCGCCUAACACAUGCAAGUCGAACGGAGCUGAGAGAAGCUUGCUUUUCUUAGCUUAGCGGCGAACGGGUGAGUAACGCGUGAGUAACCUGCCCUGGAGUGGGGGACAACAGUUGGAAACGACUGCUAAUACCGCAUAAGCCCACGAUCCGGCAUCGGAUUGAGGGAAAAGGAUUUAUUCGCUUCAGGAUGGACUCGCGUCCAAUUAGCUAGUUGGUGAGGUAACGGCCCACCAAGGCGACGAUUGGUAGCCGGACUGAGAGGUUGAACGGCCACAUUGGGACUGAGACACGGCCCAGACUCCUACGGGAGGCAGCAGUGGGGGAUAUUGCACAAUGGGGGAAACCCUGAUGCAGCGACGCCGCGUGGAGGAAGAAGGUUUUCGGAUUGUAAACUCCUGUCGUUAGGGACGAUAAUGACGGUACCUAACAAGAAAGCACCGGCUAACUACGUG